AGAAAAAAGAAUGCAAUUCAACUCCAACCUAACCCUAGACCAAUGAUUUCUCUCCGCCAAUUUCCUGCGAUUCUCAUGAUUUGGUCGGUAAUUGGCGACCCUUUUUAACGUUUUCCAUCAGCCAUCAUCAAACCAUACCUCUUUCUCCAUUCAAUUUGAGGGCAUCUAAUGAAAUUAUGAGAUACUUGCCUCAGCAAGUAUUCAAGAAAGUUUGGCAACGGCACCAAUGAUAGAACUAGCAAAGCGGAUAUGAAGAAGGGUAGUGAUUGGUGGCGAAAUACAGAAUAAGGGUAGUGAACAGUAGUGGAAUAAUGGAUUUGGAAGCAGUGUCCGAUGCAUUGAGGUCUAAAGUAGGGAAUUUGCUCACUGAUGCAAAUUCAUUGAGGAAGAUAAUAGUUCAGGAGGUGGUGGAAGGAAAUACAGAAUCCUGUACAAAAUGUGAGGUUCUCGACUGUUGCUAAUCAACCGCACCUUAGGAUUCGAGGACUAGGACAGCAGAGUGAGACGGAACGGCUUUAGCGAGGAGAGAUAGAUGGGUGGUAGACAACUUCUAUCUAGCUAGUUAUAUACAAUUGAAGAAUAGCUGAUUAUUAUAAUAUUGUAUAUUGUAAAUCUGAUAUCCACACUUGGAGUUAACAAUUUUGUAUCAAGUGUGUUGGUGUUUGUACUUGAAGACAAUCUCCAUCUCUUGAAUGCUACCAUUUUUUAGAGUUCUGUA